UAAUAGAUUGGGUGUUCUUUCUAUUUGCCUUCUGCUUUUUGAGCCUUUCGGGUGUCCUGGGGUCACAUUUCAAAGCUUUCUCCACAGCCACAAGGCCAAGAAACUUUAUUUUUCUUUAAGAAGGAAGGCUGAAAUCACCACAUAUCACUUGACACCAGGAGCUGGGGCUUUAAGGAAAAGCAAUCCUCAUCAUGAGACUCAUGACAAAACCACGAGAGUUGGCAACAUGCUUUCCCUUCUGUUUAAAGGCAAGUUACUCCCCCGAAGGCUCCGAA